CCUACGGGGGGCAGCAGUGAGGAAUAUUGGUCAAUGGACGAAAGUCUGAACCAGCCAUGCCGCGUGCAGGAAGACGGCUCUAUGGGUUGUAAACUGCUUUUGUACAAGGGUAAACCUGAAUACGUGUAUUCAGCUGAAAGUACUGUACGAAUAAGGAUCGGCUAACUCCGUGCCAGCAGCCGCGGUAAUACGGAGGAUCCGAGCGUUAUCCGGAUUUAUUGGGUUUAAAGGGUGCGUAGGCGGAUUGAUAAGUUAGAUGUGAAAGUUCCGGGCUUAACUCUGGAACUGCAUCUAAUACUGGCGAUCUAGAGAGUAGAUGCGGUAGGCGGAAUGCAUGGUGUAGCGGUGAAAUGCUUAGAUAUCACGCAGAACCCCGAUUGCGAAGGCAGCAUGCUGGCUUCCGACUGACGCUGAAGCACGAAAGCGUGGGGAUCGAACAGGAUUAGAUACCCCGGUAGUC
rnacentral:rRNA from 1 species